CCUACGGGUGGCAGCAGUGAGGAAUAUUGGUCAAUGGGCGCGAGCCUGAACCAGCCAAGUCGCGUGAGGGAAGACGGUCCUAUGGAUUGUAAACUUCUUUUGUCGGGGAGCAAAAGAGUCCCCGUGUGGCGUUCGCGGAGUCCCCGAAAAAAAAGCAUCGGCUAACUCCGCGCCAGCAGCCGGGGUAAUACGGGGGUUGCGAGCGUUUCCCGGAUUUUUUGGGUUAAAAGGGUGCGCAGGCGGAAGAUCAAGGCAGCGGUAAAAUUGAGAGGCUCAACCUCUUCGAGCCGUUGAAACUGGUUUUCUUGAGUGAGCGAGAAGUAUGCGGAAUGCGUGGUGUAGCGGUGAAAUGCAUAGAUAUCACGCAGAACUCCGAUUGCGAAGGCAGCAUACCGGCGCUCAACUGACGCUGAUGCACGAAAGUGUGGGUAUCGAACAGGAUUAGAUACCCUAGUAGUC
rnacentral:rRNA from 1 species